UCUCCAGGGAACCUAUAGAUGUCCCCCUCCGAUCUGUGCCUUCCACUGACAUCUGUGUCCAGGCCUUUCCUUCAGAUGAGGAUAGCAGCCAUCCAUGCUGGUGGAGGCUCACUCUAGUGGCCUCAUUUUAACUCAAUCAUUAUUUAAAUCCCUAACCCCCAAACACAGUCACGUGUUUCUUAAGAUAAGCUCUCAAGUCGAUUGGGCUGCCCUCAAAUGUAGCCCAGGAUGAAACUGGAACUCCUGAUUCGCUUCCACCUCCCAACUGUUGGAAUCACGUGGACAUAGCCACAUUCUGAAAUAAUAGGGGAGAAAAAUGUAACGGCGUGUAAUUGACUUUGUGAGAACCUUGCUGCUCCCUGGGAUGGGACGCCAUCUGGAAGAAGAACCUAGAAGUUGGCUGACAGAAGACAGGCUUUCGUGCCCCUCUUCAUUUUCCUCAUCAUUCUGGACCUCUGUGAGGAAAGAAGCUGCAACCAAUGUCUUUUGUGCUAAGAGAUGAUGUCAACAGCUGCAUGGAGGGGAUUUAUCCGCUCUUUAAGUGCUCCAUUCUGAGGUCUCAAGUAGAGAGCGCCGUCUGGAAAAUGACCUACUUCACAUAUUGGGAAUGAACGUUUCCCCCUGGUUUCAACAUCUCUACAGCCUGGAAAUGUCUUCAAUCAGUGUCCUACGAUCACCUGGCAUUCACGCGUGAGCAAGCCAUUUGAAACCUUCAAACCAUGUACAUAAAGAGCCAGCAGCUUCUGGGUGUGGUGGUGCACAUACCUUUAAUCCCAGCACUCAGGAGAUAGAGGCAGGUGGAUCUCUGUUAGUUCACAGACUGAGUUUCAGGUCAGGCAGAACUCUAUAGGAGAACAUCUUUGAAAAUUAAAUUUUAAAAGCUUUAAUUUUUAAAGAGCCAGCAGUAUAGCAUGCUAGGUGAAAGAAAAUGAGGUAUGUCCCCAAUAAACUAAAAGCCCAAGGAUUGUGAUUCCGUUUAUCCUUCCUAGCUUCUCAUUGGCUCAGCCUUGGCUAGAGGAUGCUGGUUUUAUCCUCCCUAGCUUCCCAUUGGCUCAGCCUCGGCUAGAGGAUGCUGGUUUUAUCCUCCCUAGCUUCUCAUUGGCUCAGCCUCGGCUAGAGGAUGCUGGUUUUAUCCUCCCCAGCUUCUCAUUGGCUCAGCCUCGGCUAGAGGAUGCUACAUGUCUGACUUUUUGGUUCUCCUUUUGGGGACUUUGGAGAUGGUUCAGUGAGUAAAGUUCUUGCCCACACAAGCCUAAGAAACUGAGCUCAGAUGCCCAGCACCCACGAUCAAGAGGGAUGCAGCAGUGUGCGUGCAUCUGUAAUCCCAGUCCUGAGGGACAGAGACAGGAAUAGUCCACGGCUUGCUGGCCUGCUAGUCUAGUCAAAAAAGUGAGCUCCUGGAUCAAUGAAAGACCCUCUUGCAAAAAGCAGGAUGGCAAGCCAGGCAGUGGCGACACACACCUUUA